rnacentral:rRNA from 1 species
AAUCAACGCUGGCGGCGUGCCUCAGACAUGCAAGUCGAACGAUUAAAGCUCUCUUCGGAGAGUGUAUAGAGUGGCGCACGGGUGAGUAACACGUAAGUAAUCUACCCUCGAGUGGGGAAUAACAACCGGAAACGGUUGCUAAUACCGCAUAAUGCAGCGGCACCGCAAGGUGACAGUUGUUAAAGAUUUAUCGCUUGAGGAGGAGCUUGCGGCAGAUUAGCUAGUUGGUAGGGUAACGGCUUACCAAGGCUACGAUCUGUAACCGGUCUAAGAGGACGGUCGGUCACACUGACACUGAAUAACGGGUCAGACUCCUACGGGAGGCAGCAGUCGGGAAUUUUGGGCAAUGGGCGAAAGCCUGACCCAGCAACGCCGCGUGAAGGAUGAAGUAUUUCGGUAUGUAAACUUCGAAAGAAUAGGAAGAAUUAAUGACGGUACUAUUUAUAAGGUCCGGCUAACUACGUGCCAGCAGCCGCGGUAAGGCGUAUGUGU